GAUGAACGCUGGCGGCGUGCCUAAUACAUGCAAGUCGAGCGAACGGACGAGAAGCUUGCUUUCCUGAUGUUAGCGGCGGACGGGUGAGUAACACGUGGAUAACCUACCUAUAAGACUGGGAUAACUUCGGGAAACCGGAGCUAAUACCGGAUGAUAUUUUGAACCGCAUGGUUCAAAAGUGAAAGACGGUCUUGCUGUCACUUAUAGAUGGAUCCGCGCUGCAUUAGCUAGUUGGUAAGGUAACGGCUUACCAAGGCAACGAUGCAUAGCCGACCUGAGAGGGUGAUCGGCCACACUGGAACUGAGACACGGUCCAGACUCCUACGGGAGGCAGCAGUAGGGAAUCUUCCACAAUGGGCGAAAGCCUGACGGAGCAACGCCGCGUGAGUGAUGAAGGUCUUCGGAUCGUAAAACUCUGUUGUUAGGGAAGAACAGAUGUGUAAGUAACUGUGCACAUCUUGACGGUACCUAAUCAGAAAGCCACGGCUAACUACGUG
rnacentral:rRNA from 1 species